GGCUCGGGGGUUGAGGAAGGUUCAGAGGUCGAACCGGGCUGGCUGUCCGAAGGCUGUUUUGUUUUUCGGGACAAAGAAGGGUCGGCUUCGACCAGCUCAGUGUCAGGUGUUUGGGUUUCAUUUGAGGGAUUUGUUGUUGAAGGUGGAGGGACGCAGAGUUCGUCGGCGGUAAGGGGAAUUAUUUUGGUUCUUAAUUUUUUAGCGCGAAGGACUUUCGCCCGAUCGUGUGGAGGAAUAUCAAGAAGACUCCUCUUUUUUGGGGUUGGUUCAGAAGUUGUUGGGGUUGGUUCAAAGGUUGUUGUCGUGGGUUCGGUUGGAGGAAUUGGUUGUGGGUUUACCUCAGGAAGGGCCUCCUCGUCGCUUUCAGGGUUUAUCUCGCGAGGAGUCCUGGCCUUUUUGGCAGCCUUCUUCCUUCGGCGAGGUCGGAGGACCUCUUCGGGGAUGAUGGGUUCGUCAGCUUCAGG
rnacentral:lncRNA from 1 species